rnacentral:lncRNA from 1 species
UCCAACAGUUUCAUGGAGACAAAAUCCUAUUAAUAUCAAGGGAAGUAUUAGAGCAUCUAAGGAUGGCCUGAAGUAAAUUAUCAAAAUGGAGAACACAGUGCCACAGAAUGAGGACAUAGAAAAUCUGAAGACUGAGUUUCAGGAGAAAGAAUGAGGCAACAUAAAACUGACAAAUGAGACUAGAGAAGGUUGAGAGCACAAGAAAACAAUGGGAUAUCUGGAAAAUUUUCUUUGUGGAGCAGAACCCAAUUCAUGAUAUGAUUUAAAUAUUUAAAGUAUUUAGAUAUAAUAUACGUGUUUACUAU